rnacentral:misc_RNA from 1 species
CCACACCCACGCAAGCGAAGAGACGCAUCCAGGCAAACAUCAGCAGCAGCCGAAGGAAAAGCGCAAUAGAAGAGGUGCCCUCCUUCUCAGACUCCCGCAGCGAAGGCGUCCGACCCGUGCAGGAGGAGACCCUACACUCCCUCUCUCCCUCCGAAAGGCCUCCUCUUCGCGGUCCGUCCACGCCAUUACCGCUGGAGCCGACUCAUACCCACGGGCACAGAGAAGGGACAGACACAGCCGUGUUGCUCCCCUUUCUCUGCUCGGUGGCGUAGUUGUGAGCUUGUGCGUGCUGUUCGUAGCUCCUCGGCCACCGUCUCUUUCUGUGCACCGCGCCUCAAACCGCCACUGCGGCGUUGGGGCAUCCUCGUCGCCGUCCCUCGUUGCUGCUGCUUCGGUUUGCGUUGCCUGUGCUCUCUCUGCUUUUAACUCACCCGCUCUGCAGGCGCGUCGUCAUGUGAGCACGCUCGCGCAUACGUCUGCGUCUGCUUGCAUGUCUAUGCGGGGGUGGGGGCCGAUACGCUGACGGUGUGCGUUGCGACGGGCGUGAGUGGCUUGCUGUUGCGGCGUGCACCCCGUCCACCGGUAUGCAUCCAUCCGUCACACCCUCUCAACAACGAAGUUUGCCCCACGUCUCCAUCUCCCUCCUCCUUGUUGUUCUUGGUGCGUUGCAUUCCUUGCUGUAUGCCGCCUCGUGCGGGUACCCUUUUCCGCAUAUCUUGUCUUCCGCUGGAAGCCUUGCCAGCACUGUGCUUGUCUGCGUGCCGUGCGCGCACGGGCGUGUCCGUUUCUGUGCGCUUGCCUGUCGGCGCCUCUGCUGUGCGGAGUUUCGCGCUCAUCUCUCUGGCUUCGUCACUGCUUGUUGGGAUACGCGCUUGCGUGCCGACUUACAGUCUCGCGCACGCCGGCUCUCCCUCCUGCUCGUGUCCUGUCGCGCUGCUCACUUGCCUCAUCUCCACCCACUGGCGCACGCACACAGGUGCAUGUGGACACAACAUCGUACAAGGCAAGCCACACGUGAAGUCCCCUUCGCAAGCCGUUCGGCUGCACCCCCUUCCUCCCACCGAAUGUGGCCUUCCCAGGCGCAGCAGAGGCUACCGCGACUGCUACUCGUCGUUGUGGGGACGGCGACGGUGGCGACGGCUGCGGGCGAGACAGCGGACGGCAUCAGUCAUGAUUUUUGGUGGUGGCUCGCCCUCGGGUUUUCCGGCUUCUUCAUCGUGUUGCUCAUAUUCACGCUGCUGUUCUCCUGGAGCCGCUCCCUCGAUGCGUCUGUCUCGGUACCAGCAUCGUCGCUCCACGGCAGACGCCACCAGCAGAAGCAAGACAACGUAGGACUUUUCGAUGGCGCGACCUUCGUCUCGCCAGCCAUGACUGCGAUGCGUAAUGCCAGCACCGGUAUGGAUGGCACAAGCCACAGCCCUGGUGAGGCUUCUGUGAGCUUGCUGCAGUACGCGGAUCAUACGAACCGUUGCGAAAACGCCGAGAUGAUGGCGGCCGCCCUCGAAGGCGGCGUCACGCCACUCUCGCACUACGGUGAGCCUCCAGCACCGCAGCCGCCGGCGACGACGACCGUGCUCUUGGCAGGACACAGGCCCAAGAAGGUAACGCCGGCAUCGUCAAGACGAUCACUCGACAUUCAUUUUCGCAGUGCUGCUACCGUGGCUCCGCGCGCUGCGUUGGCUACUCCGCCUGCCGCCGCCAGCCUUCCCAAACAGCUUCGGUCGUUUCCGCGAGCGCAGCGGCAUCGUUGUCCAAACGACCUGGGAGAGGUGACGCCGGAGGCGGACGUGGAUGUCGCUGUCAGCUCACUAGAAAACCCGCUGACUACCACUGACCUUCACAGAGCGGUGCCGAAGCUGCUAGCGGAUCUCGUAGGCGGCUCCGCGCUACACUCCACACCAGCCGCAGCGGCAGGGAAGGGGAGGGGCGGCGACGACACCCCUCGCGACCGCCCUUUGGACGAGCUGACAUUCUCUGGCGCGCCUGCGCUUGCGUGGCAUGGUAAGCCCGCAACGCAACCCACAUCCCCAGUGCCGUUGCAGCGAGCGUCUUCGCAGCCGCAGCGCAGCAGCUCUUCUGAUGCGGUGAAGCAGUACUACUUCGGCUUCAAGCGCUCGCAGGAGACUGCCGCCACGGCAGCAUGCUCGGAGUUUGUGCCGCGACGCGCGUGGCACGAGGCCGCACACGCACCGGUGCACCGCCGCUCCUCGCAGGCACGGCGGCGCCCUGCCGAAGUUCAGUCAGAGCCAGCACCGGGCGCAAGCCGUGAAGCGCUGCUCACGAACGCACCCACCACAACCGUGGCUGCGGCUGCGCUGGCUUCUUUGAGUCCACACGACGGCGCCAUGUUCAAACCACUGACGCUGACGUUGGCGACGAUGCCCCCAUUCGCCGCGCGCGAGAGCGGCGACGCCACCUCGCUGACGGAGCUGGAGCCGUCUCCGCAGGGGCUUCACGUGGCUAGCGAGGAUGGCGCUGCCGCAGCGGGGGCGGCCACGUGCCGGUCGUCGCCCCGCAAGUCGCAGCACGUCUCGUCGCUUUCACGGCGGAGGCUUCGCCCGGAGCUGUUUCGCGCGAGCGGCGAUGGCGGCCCUGCAACAGCAAAGGCGGCUGUGUGCUGCGCGCAGUUCAACAAGCGCCCUGUCGCACAGCUGCAUUCCUCAGAUGCGCGGCCUACUCGGCAGCUGCUCAUUCUACAUGCUGCGCCUGCAUCGGCUAACUCGAAACCACGUGGGCACUGGCGCGACCGCCCGUUGUCGUCGCAGCCGCCAGUGCGCUCACGUGGCGGUGCUUCGUCGUCGUUGGCAGCUCAGCGAACAGCAUCGGCUGGCAGCACGACAGCGGAGCGGUCGGUGAGCACAACAGUGACGAAGGGCGUGCCGCAGCUGUUCUUCGGCAAGCGUGGAGCAUCGCCGGUGCGGCCGCCAGCGGCAGCAGCAUCUUCCCAGCCCACCGCGGCGACGGCGAAGGGAGCUCGGGGCGGCAGUGGAGGCACAGCCGCGCGUAGGCCGCCCAUCGCAAAGCCUCUGUCGGUAGACCAUCUCACCGAGGCCCUCGCACCUGCUCUGGUGUCGCCGUCGGCUUUCUCCUCUGUGAGCCCGCAGCCAGCGGCAGCCUCGGUGGCGCGGGGCUCGCCCGCACCAACAAUGUUCACCGCUGCCGGCGGCGCAUCCAUCAGCCCGUCGGGGUGGGCGGUCGCUCCGCACCGCGGCUCCUUCAGCCCCUCGAUGAACGGCCGCUCGCCGCUCCAUAACAGCCCACGACGAAAGCGGAGCGCAAGCCUGGUAACGUUCCUCGACAAGGACGAUGUCCGUGCCGGCAGCGAGCCUCGUGGGGUCCACGCGCCACCGCCGCUUGCGCAGAAGGUGCAGCUGCCACAGUCGUGCGAGCUCUCUGCUGGGCCGCCCUCCUCAUUCUAUGCCUCUCCUUCUGCAAGCGGCAGUGCUGGGGCAGCUCGGCUAGAGCGUGUUUCCGACCCUGCAGCGGCUACAGCCGCAACGGGCGUCGAUGUCGCUCCAGUCCUGCGGAAUGCCGGCGUGGCUGUCGCACAGGGGCAUCAGAUCCUCACGCUGCCGAGCGCCGCCGCGGCGGUAGAGCGACGCCGGGCGCAGAGCCCCGCUACUCGUGAGCCAAGCGCGGCUGCACCAGCGACGCCGCCCCACUCGGCGACGACAGCAACGCCGCUGGAGCUGCCUACCGACGUGGCAGCGCGCCGCACCCCGGCGGCGUUGGCACAACCUGCGUUUCUCACCACCCGUCACCACGGAGGUGGUGCAACAGCGGCUGCUGCUCUGACGCCAGGCCCAGCUGAAGAAAGCCGCGGUAUCGGCGCCGAAGAGAGCUGCGACAGCGAUGAUGGUGACUCUGUGAGCAGCGGGGCAAGCACCGUUGCCGCCGGCAUGUUACCAGCUGCUCCACGCGGCCGGAGAGGCACGUUCACCACGGUGCCGCCUGCGUCAACGGUCACCGCGCAACAGCGGCAGUUGCAUUCGACUGCGUCAGCCUACUCCGACGCCCGUCAGCAGCUUUUCUGCACCUCUGGAAUCGAGGUCCUGCGCAUCACGCACCCGACCGGUGUGGUACAGGAGUCACCUGCACCGCUCUCUGCCCUGGCGCGGGAUCCCCGGCACUAUGACGCGACGCACACCGCCUCGCACUACCCGUCCACAACAUCAGACCGUCACCUCCUCGCUGCCCACAGCAACGCAGCGCUGCCGGCUCGCUCCCACUUUUCAGGCGCUCAAGUCACCAAUGCGUCGGCGACCCGCAGCACCGGCAGCAUACAUUAGAGGGUGUGAGAGCGGGUUCAGGGAAGGGGGAGGGGAGGUUCUGUCAGCACUCAUACUCUACGGACAGCAGCGGGUCCGCGAGUGAGCGGGUGGGUGCACCCGCCCCACAUGCGCACGGCAACGUGCCUCCCCCCUCCCUCCCCCUUCCUUCCUCUCGCCGCACCGAGCGGGCGGGGAGGGAGGGAAGGGGUGCCCUUGGCACGUGCGGGUCUUGUUCGUUUUCGACCUCGUCGCCGUAUGCGCCCGCCUUUCUCCCUUAUGGAUACAGCGCGCCGAAAGGCGCGGGAGUUGAUGCCAGCAGACACAGGCCCACAGACAGACAGAGCGAGAAAGAGAUUCACUUGCGAGCGUCUAUUCUCCUUCUCCAUUCCCCUGAUGAGAGUGCAAGCAGCAGCUUGCACGUGUGUGUGUGUAGGGGGGGGAGGGCGCCUGGCGAGGUGAGGUGGUACUUGGCGCUGAUGGUGGCGUUGGGGAAGUGGAAACAACGCCUGCGUGUGUACGCGAUUGUGUCUGUGUGUCUGUCUUGGUGUUCGCUGAUGCUGGAUGUCUCUCUCCCGCUCACUCUCCGCUGCCGUCAAUCUCGUCCUCGUCUCUCUCCGUCGUGUUCGUCUCUGUUGGCCGAUAUACGCAUAUUCCUUUGUUGGUAAGGCUCUGUCCAGCGUCAUCGUUGUUUCGGUGUGCGUAAGACAACCCUUCCGCCGAUGUGCCCCCCUCUCUCUCCCAUCCGCUUGCCCCUCCGCCUUGGCUGAUGGGUGGGGGUCGGUGUGGGUGGGCAGGGGAGUACAGGGCACUCGUGCGGUUGCUUACUUCGUGCUCAUCGCUGUAACUCCUUAAUGCGAUCUUCAUGUUCUCCUUUCAUCUGGUAUCGUUGCGGGAGGGAUCCCUCCCCAGCCGUCCCUUGAUUGCUGAUGAACCUUCCAGCUGUCGGUGACGCUCGCGGCAACGCACACACGUGCACCAACACACUCCGACGCACGCCAAGACAGGUGUUCCUGUGCAGUGCUUGCGUUAGCUGUGCCUGCCCCUUUACUCAUCUUGAUCAUCGCCGGCGACGUGACGCAUGUGGACUCUGCCCCCCCCCCCCCCCCCCCCCCCCCCCCACGUAUUGCUCAUCAUCCACCGUGUCUCGCCCUGCGCUCUUCUCCUCUCCCCUCUCUCGCGCUCUGCCUGUCUGUGUUCGGCAUGUAAG